UGUUAAGCUGGAGGAAGGUGGGGAUGACGUCAAGUCCUCAUGGCCCUUACACCUAGGGCUACACACGUAAUACAAUGGAUAGGACAAAGGGCAGCGAACCAGCGAUGGGGAGCUAAUCUCAAAAACCUAUCCUCAGUUCGGAUUGGAGGCUGCAAUUCGCCUCCAUGAAGGCGGAAUCGCUAGUAAUCGUGGAUCAGAACGCCACGGUGAAUACGUUCCCGGGCCUUGUACACACCGCCCGUCACACCAUGGGAGUUGACUCAACCAGAAGUCGCUGUCGCAACCGUAAG
rnacentral:rRNA from 1 species